UCCACCUUUGAGAUUUCAUCUUGUCCACACUUGCCAUGUUUUGUUUGAUCUAUUACUCUGAUCUAUUUUAGCACAGGUAUGCUCUUUUUAUUGCUGUAUAUCCAGGUGCGCGCGUCCGCGAUCAAAUAUAUGCUGUAUCCCUGUAACUCCAAUUCGUGCACAUUCUCAUCUGAGGUGAAUAUAAUAACAUACUAAGUACCAGUGAAAUGUAAAAAAAUACUACUCAACAACAACAAAAAUUAAGCUAAAUACUAGAAGAAAGACAACAACAAAAAAAGAAAAGGUAAUUGCAGAGGCUGAUGCAAUGUGAAGUGAAGACGCCACGGCAAUUCAAACUUCAAACGGCGAGAGCCGAGAGAGGAGAGGGCGAGAGUGGCAGUUGGAAGUUGGAACUUGUACCAAGGGCCCGAAACUCGCCAGUUCCUUUGCGGGAUAAAGUGAGGCGCUUCAUGCGUUUCACGUCAUCGGACGUCAGAAAACGUCAUAAAUUGAACGUCAUGGAGACAUCCGGUGGCUAGUGAUUACUGAUUGGUUCCCAUGAGGAUGAAUUCGUUUUCUGAGCGAUGAUUGGCCGUUUUCAAAUUUGUUCGCGGGCGCUCGAACAGGCGACAGCGCGGCGGCUGUGCCGGUUGGAACCGGCGUCCACGGAGUCGACGGCGUCCGUUUCGGACGGCUCGUGUUGUGUAGCGGUUGUGUUGGACUAUGAGUUCUGAUUUUUCCUGUUUAAAAACGCAAGCUGUAUCAUGUGAGUGUCCUCGAACAGUAACAGCUGCCAGGGAAGAUGCCUGCGCAACAUUUGUGCUCUGCUUCUUGGUGUAGAAAGUAUUCGAGCGCCCGAACGCCUCGUACCCGAUACCUGGUCAACGACUGCCGAGAGCCACUGAACUCCAGUUCCCAGUAGCAGUCCUUGCCAGAGGCAGUCCGACAUUAUCAAGCUUCUUCAAGCAAAUUCCGGAGCAAUAUUCAUGUCAUCCUGUGUACGUCUUGCUUGCAUAACCGUAUGUUGCACAAUAAAAUGCUUCAUGUGACAAACAA